UGCAGCUUUGUCAAAUUCGGUGCCACUUUCUCCGUGGGUCGCACCGGCCCAAACGGCUGCAACAGUGACUGUAGUUCAUGGGCCCCAGAGUCCCCCACUGUGGGCACUGGGGACAAAAUUGUACUACAUACAAUU
ensembl:snoRNA small nucleolar RNA SNORA5